rnacentral:rRNA from 1 species
CAAACUGGAGAUGGCGACCGGCGCACGGGUGAGUAACACGUAUCCAACCUGCCGAUAACUCGGGGAGUAGCCUUUCGAAAGAAAGAUUAAUACCCGAUGGCAUAAUAGAACCGCAUGGUUUGAUUAUUAAAGAAUUUCGGUCAUCGAUGGGGAUGCGUUCCAUUAGGUUGUUGGGGGGGUAACGGGCCCACCAAGACUACGAUGGAUAGGGGUUCUGAGAGGAAGGUCCCCCACAUUGGAACUGAGACACGGUCCAAACUCCUACGGGAGGCAGCAUG